GACGAACGCUGGCGGCGUGCUUAACACAUGCAAGUCGAACGGAAAGGCCCUGCUUUUGUGGGGUGCUCGAGUGGCGAACGGGUGAGUAACACGUGAGUAACCUGCCCUUGACUUUGGGAUAACUUCAGGAAACUGGGGCUAAUACCGGAUAGGAGCUCCUGCUGCAUGGUGGGGGUUGGAAAGUUUCGGCGGUUGGGGAUGGACUCGCGGCUUAUCAGCUUGUUGGUGGGGUAGUGGCUUACCAAGGCUUUGACGGGUAGCCGGCCUGAGAGGGUGACCGGGCAGGUGGGGGGAGAGAUCAGCCGCGGCAGGAACCGGUGGUCAGGCGGGGGGGCGAGUGCGCAGGGGACGGGGGCUAGAUGGAGCGCUGCCGCGUGGGGGGUGGGGAACUUGGGGUUGUAGAGAAAAGGAGCACCUAAUAACGAGUGAGCGACGGUAACGGGGAAAAGAGCAGAGGCUAACUGCGUG
rnacentral:rRNA from 1 species